ACUUACUCAGCUAGGUUUGACUCAGGAUGAAGUUGAAUUGAAGAUGGUAGACUGUGGUCUGUUGAGCAAGGUAUGUAAAUAAACGUGGAUAAUUAAAUAAAUAGGAAGGAAGAAGGAAUUUUUAGAAAUUUAGCCUCCCAAAUACGAAUAUUGUCAUGUCGCCGAAGGCGAGGUGAUUACAAGCCUAUAUUCACUGAGCCGAAGGCGAAGUGAAUAUAGGCUUGUAAUCGCCGAGUCUGAGGCGACUAGUUGUUUCAGUAUAAUUUCAGUAUAAUUGAAAAAGUUUUAUUUAUAAAUACAACUAAUACACGUGUUUAUUUUAUGAAUAUAAUUUGCAUAAAUUAUUUACUUCCGUCUGAUUUUUCAGCCUUUUUUUUUGAAAAGCAAUAGUUACUGCUCAGAGCAGUCUGAGCAGAAACUAUUGUCUCCGAGUUACUGCUGAGGGAGCCAAUCAGAAUGCUCAAAAGCCAUUUUUCAAUACUGAAAUUAUACUAAUAUUUAUAUAGAUAAAUGUAAAAAUAUAUACGAAUCUUGGACAUUGAGCAUAUGACGCUCUUCCCACACACAGUUAUUACAAGGUCUUAUAGAGUAUUACAAGUUAGAAUUCCCGAAAGCCAAAGUAAGAUCUGCACAAUGUAAGAUCAUAUUGUAUUUUGGGUAACUAAGCUAGUGCAUCCCCAUUCUCCUUUUUGUAGGAUUCUAAGCGACGUAAUUACGGCAUUAAUCCGGAAAUAGAGCACGACAGACGCAAGGCAAUUCAGAAGAAAAUAGAGAGCAAAGAACAAAAACUUGCACAAGAAACUACUUUCUCCAAUGUACGGACAAUGAGUCGCCAUGCUAUGGAAGUAGAGAAAUCUUUAAACAGAGGAACAGAAAAG
rnacentral:lncRNA from 1 species